UGUUACAUUUUUUCGUAGCUUUGUGAAAGAUCAGUUGGAUAAUGAAAAUGUCGUCAUUUGAUACAGAUUCAUUGACACUUUCUCAAAUUAGACUAUUGUCUAGAGAGGAAUUGGUUACAUUGGUUGUAGAUUUUCAACAAAGGUUAAAAGAGAGACCUGUCAUCCUGAUCAAGGACAAAACACUGGCGCAGGAAUUGAUUAAAGCCCAUGAUCAAAUUGAGCUUCUAAAUGAGAAAAUUGCUCAGGAAAAACAGAGAAGCAGGAUUUUACAAGAAUGCCUAAUGAAAAAAGAUCGGCAGCUCAAUGAACUCUUGUAUGAGCAGGCAAAGAGACGACCCUCGAAGAUAUUGUGUGACUAUCCUAUAAUCUACUUGGAAGCACAUAGUUAGCAUGGAGCAGCCCGAAGCUGCUCUCACAAGAUGUUUCCCUCACAGCUCUACUCCACACACAUCUGCGGGGUUAGCGACACGAGGAUUUGUGUUUGCGACAUCAAACAAACACAAACGGAUGAAAUGUAUGAGAGAAGUAAUUUUACAAGGUGCUACAUCCUGACAACAACGCGAUUCAUCUAGAUGAAACCGAGACCAUUUGAGGUUCCAGAUGCACUGGGUUCAUUUAGCAUCACAGAGCUGAAUUAAAG